rnacentral:rRNA from 1 species
AGAGUUUGAUCCUGGCUCAGGAUGAACGCUAGCGGCAGGCUUAACACAUGCAAGUCGAGGGGUAACAGGAAGUGCUUGCACUUCGCUGACGACCGGCGAACGGGUGCGUAACGCGUAUGCAACCUACCUUCUACAGGGGAAUAGCCCAGAGAAAUUUGGAAUAAUACCCCAUACGGUCAUUUAAUGGCAUCAUUAAAUGAAGAAAACUCCGGUGGUAGUAGAUGGGCAUGCGUCCUAUUAGUUAGUUGGUAAGGUAAUGGCUUACCAAGACACCGAUAGGUAGGGGUCCUGAGAGGGAGAUCCCCCACACUGGUACUGAGACACGGACCAGACUCCUACGGGAGGCAGCAGUGAGGAAUAUUGGACAAUGGAGGCAACUCUGAUCCAGCCAUGCCGCGUGCAGGAAGACGGCCCUACGGGUUGUAAACUGCUUUUAUACAGGAAGAAUUAUACCUACGUGUAGGUAUUUGACGGUACUGUAAGAAUAAGGAUCGGCUAACUCCGUGCCAGCAGCCGCGGUAAUACGGAGGAUCCAAGCGUUAUCCGGAAUUAUUGGGUUUAAAGGGUCCGUAGGCGGUUUUUUAAGUCAGAGGUGAAAUCCUGCAGCUCAACUGUAGCAUUGCCUUUGAUACUGAAAGACUUGAGUUAUUGUGAAGUAGUUAGAAUGUGUAGUGUAGCGGUGAAAUGCAUAGAUAUUACACAGAAUACCGAUUGCGAAAGCAGAUUACUAACAAUAUACUGACGCUGAGGGACGAAAGCGUGGGUAGCGAACAGGAUUAGAUACCCUGGUAGUCCACGCCGUAAAC